rnacentral:rRNA from 1 species
GACGAACGCUGGCGGCGUGCUUAACACAUGCAAGUCGAACGGAAAGGCCCUGCUUUUUUGGGGUGCUCGAGUGGCGAACGGGUGAGUAACACGUGAGUAACCUGCCCUUGACUUUGGUAUAACUUCAGGAAACUGGGGCUAAUACCGUAUAGGAUCUCCUCCUCCAUGGUGGGGGUUGGAAAGUUUCGGCGGUUGGGGAUGGACGCGCGGCUUAUCAGCUUGUUAGUGGGGGAGUUGCUUACCAAGGCUUUGACGGGUAGCCGGCAUGAGAGGGUGAACGGGCACCUUGGGACUAAGAUACGGAGCAGACUGCUACGGGAGACAGCAGUGGCGAACAUUGCACAACGGGCGGGAGCGUGAUGCAGAGACGCCGCGUGCGGGAUGACGGCCUUCGGGUUGAAAAACGCUUUAGCCUGUGACGAAGCGUUAGUGACGGUAAUGGGUAAAGAAGCACCGGCUAACUACGUG